rnacentral:rRNA from 1 species
AUUGAACGCUGGCGGCAGGCCUAACACAUGCAAGUCGAGCGGAUGAAGGGAGCUUGCUCCUGGAUUCAGCGGCGGACGGGUGAGUAAUGCCUAGGAAUCUGCCUGGUAGUGGGGGAUAACGUCCGGAAACGGGCGCUAAUACCGCAUACGUCCUGAGGGAGAAAGUGGGGGAUCUUCGGACCUCACGCUAUCAGAUGAGCCUAGGUCGGAUUAGCUAGUUGGUGGGGUAAAGGCCUACCAAGGCGACGAUCCGUAACUGGUCUGAGAGGAUGAUCAGUCACACUGGAACUGAGACACGGUCCAGACUCCUACGGGAGGCAGCAGUGGGGAAUAGUGGACAAUGGGCGAAAGCCUGAUCCAGCCAUGCCGCGUGUGAAGAAGGUCUUCGGAUUGUAAAGCACUUUAAGUUGGGAGGAAGGGCAGUAAGUUAAUACCUUGCUGUUUUGACGUUACCAACAGAAUAAGCACCGGCUAACUUCGUG